rnacentral:rRNA from 1 species
UACAGAGGGGGCAAGCGUUGUUCGGAAUUACUGGGCGUAAAGCGCACGCAGGCGGUCUGCUAAGUUUGGAGUGACAGUUGGUGGCUCAACCACCAAAGUGCUUUGAAAACUGACAGACUUGAGGGCUUCAGAGGGACACGGAAUUCCGGGUGGAGUGGUGAAAUGCGUAGAGAUCCGGAGGAACACCGAAGGCGAAGGCAGUGUCCUGGGGAGUACCUGACGCUCAGGUGCGAAAGCUAGGGGAGCGAACGGG